rnacentral:rRNA from 1 species
CCCCAGCGCCACGAGUGGGAAUCGCUUUUAUUGGGUCUAAAGCAUCCGUAGCCGGUCUGUUAAAUGUUCUGUGAAAUCGUGGCGCUCAACGUCACGACGCGCAGAGCACACUGACAGACUCGGGACCAGGAAAGGCGUUCGGUAUUCCAGGGGGAGCGGUAAAAUGUGAUAAUCCUUGGAGGACCACCAAUGGCGAAGGCAGAACGCUAGAAUGGAUUCGACGGUGAGGGAUGAAAGCUAGGGGAGCGAUUCG